ACCUGAAACCGUAUGUCUACAAACAGUCGAAGUCUGUAUAUAUAUCAGGACGACGGCGUGCCUAUUGAAGAAUGAACCGACGAGUUACUGUUGCUAGCGAGGUUAAGUGGAAAACAUGGAGCCGCAGCGAAAGCGAGUCUGAACAGGGCGUUCAGUUAGUAAUAGUAGACCCGAAACCGUAGUGAUCUAUCCAUGGCCAGGUUGAAGCACAGGUAAAAUUGUGUGGAGGACCGAACUCGUGAGCGUUGAAAAGCUUUGGGAUGAGUUGUGGAUAGGGGUGAAAUGCCAAUCGAACACGGAGAUAGCUGGUUCUCCCCGAAAUAGCUUUAGGGCUAGCCUCGAGGUUGAGAGUAUAGGCGGUAGAGCACUGAUCGGGCUAGGGGCCAUACCGGUUACCGAACCUAGUCAAACUACGAAUGGCUAUACUUAUACUCGGGAGUCAGACAGUGAAUGAUAAGGUCCAUUGUCAAGAGGGAAACAGCCCAGAACACCGACUAAGGUCCCCAAUGUUACACUAAGUGGCGAAGGAUGUGGAAUUUCCAAAACAACCAGGAUGUUGGCUUAGAAGCAGCCACCAUUUAAAG
rnacentral:rRNA from 1 species